CUCCAGAUAAGGGCCAGUUCAUUUUCGUUCAUGGAGAUGUAUGGUACGGGAUAUGGUACUCCCUGUAUAUAGCCGCAUUCUUGUGGUCUUUAUUCCACCUGUGUUAUCAUUUUAAAAAUGUCUUAUUUUUAACAUCAUUGGGAAAGAGCUCGAUGCCCAUAAGCCUCAGAAGACACAUCUGAAGAUCCCCGGUACCAGUUAAAACAUUUUUAUGGAACUAUAUAUGAGUUUAGUGCCAUUGUAAAUACGAAUUUGUUCUUAACUGACUUGCAUAGUUAAAUAAAGGUUAAAUAAAAAAAGGUUAGGGUAACCUAACAUUGAAGGCUUAAAAGAAAUGCCUGAAACUAGAUCCCCCUACAUACUGGUUUUGACGUGAAGAAAAAAAAGUGUCUGAGGAGGUUCUCUUCUGCACUGUUCAACCAAUCCAGUAAAUGUGGAGGAGGAGUUCAUAUGGAGUGUCGCCUUGUUAACGUCCAAAGCGCAAGUCACGUCACAUGCUCUCUUUCCAUUUGCCCUGAAAACCCUAACUUCUGGUUGAGACUAGGUUUAAGUAAGGGUUAUGGUUAGGCUAAGGGUAGGGCCUAAGGUUAGGGUUUGAUUUUAGGGUAGGGACAUCCCAAGGAUUCCAAAGCACUGACCGCUCUGUAACAAGUUGUUCCCGUGACCUUCCAGUACUUCCUGAUUGCACAUUAUAUCACAUUGGUAAACAGUUUUACUGUAUUUUGACAAAGUUGGUAUGUAUGGGAUGGUAAUAUAUUUUAGUUGAAUUAACCACAGGUUUUAUAACUUUGAAUAGACGCGUGCACCAUUGAAUCAGAGGCUACUUCUAUAGUCAGAAGCUGUUACAAUACUGAUAACAUGCAGAACUACAGUAAAGCAAAAAAUACUUUUUUUGGACAUCCGACAGGGAUCGCUCUUAUUACAAUUACAGGUUUAAAAAUAUAUAUAAAAAAAUCGAUUUAUUUAUUUGAGGUUUUUGCGCAAUGAAGUCUUUUGAGAUGCACCAUCUAAUUUUCAAGUAUCCAAAUGAAAAAACUUAAACAAACCUAGAAAGAAAAUGCAUAGAAACAAGAAUAAUAAGGCAACUACUGUCUAAUAUUAAUAACAAUGAACUGGGAAGUCAUACUGAGACUAGGUUCAAUUUUUUUAGAUGAGCCCUGCAUAAAUACAUCAAACAUACAGUACCAGUCAAAAGUUUGGACACACCUACUCAUUCAAUGGUUUUUCUUUAUUUUUACUAUUUUCUACAUUGUAGAAUAAUAGUGAAGACAUCUAAACUAUGAAAUAACACAUAUGGAAUCAUGUAGUAACCAAAACAAGUGUUAAACAAAUCAAAAUAUAUAUUUUUCACAUAAAGGGGCGCAAAAAAACUAAAAGCAGCUUUACCCAUCUCUGUGGAGAACAAAGGGGCCUCCAGUGUUAUCCAAGCCUGUGACCGGGUUUGGUCAUUUGUAAGUCUAAAUUCAAUUAAUGAUGAUACAGUUGAAGUCGGAAGUUUACAUACACCUUAGCCAAAUACAUUUAAACUCAGUUUUUCACAAUUCCUGAGAUUUAAUCCUUGUAAAAAUUCCCUGUCUUAGGUCAGUUAGGAUCACCACUUUAUUUUAAGAAUGUGAAAUGUCAGAAUAGUAGAGAGAAUGAUUUAUUUCAGCGUUUAUUUCUUUCAUCACAUUGCCAGUGGGUCAGAAGUUUACAUACACUCAAUUAGUAUUUGGUAGCAUUGCCUUUAAAUUGUUUAACUUGGGUCAAACGUUUCGGGUAGCCUUCCACAAGCUUCCCACAAUAAGUUGGGUGAAUUUUGUCCAAUUCCUCCUGACAGAGCUGCUCGAACUGAGUCAGGUUUGUAGGCCUCCUUGCUCGCACAUGCUUUUUCAGUUCUGCCUACACAUUUUCUAUAGGAUUGAGGUCAGGCUUUGUGAUGGCCACUCCAAAUCCUUGACUUUGUUGUCCUUAAGCCAUUUUGCCACAACUUUGGAAGUAUGCUUGGGGUCAUUGUCCAUUUGGAAGACCCAUUUGCGACCAAGCUUUAACUUCCUGACUGAUGUCUUGAUGUUGCUUCAAUAUAUCCACAUCAUUUUCAAUCCUCAUGAUGCCAUCUAUUUUGUGAAGUGCACCAGUCCCUCCUGCAGCAAAGCACCCCCACAGCAUGAUGCUGCCCCCCCUGUGCUUCACGGUUGGGAUGGUGUUCUUCGGCUUGCAAGCGUCCCCCUUUUUCUUUCAAACAUAACGAUGGUCAUUAUGGCCAAACAGUUCUAUUUUUGUUUCGUCAGACCAGAGGACAAUUCUCCAAAAAGUACGAUCUUUGUCCCCAUGUGCAGUUGCAAACCGUAGUCUGUAUUUUUUUUUUAUGGAGGUUUUGGAGUAGUGGCUUCUUCCUUGCUGAGCGGCCUUUCAGGUUAUGUCGAUACAGGACUCGUUUUACUGUGGAUACAGAUACUUUUAUACCUGUUUCCUCCAGCAUCUUCACAAGGUCCUUUGCUGUUGUUCUGGGAUUGAUUUGCACUUUUCGCACCAAAGUAUGUUCAUCUCUUGGAGACAGAACGUGUCUCCUUCCUGAAUUUUUUUUCUGAGGUCUUGUCUGAUUUAUUUUGAUUUUCCCAUGAUGUCAAGCAAAGAGGCACUGAGUUUGAAGGUAGGCCUUGAAAUACAUCCACAGGUACAACUCCAAUUGACUCAAAUGAUGUCAGUUGGCCUAUCAGAAGCUUCUAAAGCCAUGACAUCAUUUUCUGGAAUUUUCCAAGCUGAUUAAUGGCACAGUCAACUUAGUGUAUGUAAACUUCUGACCCACUGAAAUUGUGAUACAGUGAAUUAUAUGUGAAAUAAUCUGUCAAACAAUUGUUGAAAAAAUUACUAGUAUCAAUUAAAAGUAUCAUCAGCAUAUAAGUGAACAUGUGAAUUCUGACAAGUUAGAG
rnacentral:lncRNA from 1 species